rnacentral:rRNA from 1 species
UACGUAGGGUGCGAGCGUUGUCCGGAAUUAUUGGGCGUAAAGGGCUCGUAGGCGGUUUGUCGCGUCGGGAGUGAAAACACCGGGCUUAACUCGGUGCUUGCUUCCGAUACGGGCAGACUAGAGGCAUGCAGGGGAGAACGGAAUUCCUGGUGUAGCGGUGAAAUGCGCAGAUAUCAGGAGGAACACCGGUGGCGAAGGCGGUUCCCUGGGCAUGUCCUGACGCUGAGGAGCGAAAGUGUGGGGAGCGAACAGG